rfam:Streptomyces viridochromogenes strain NRRL 3414 P001contig106.1, whole genome shotgun sequence.
UCGACGGGCCGUGACUGGCGCGCUGGGAUGGACCAACCAUCGGGGAGCGGCCCCUGGACCGAGUCCAGACCGAGUGCCGUGCGCCUGGGCCGUACCG